CCCUUAGAUGUUCUGGGCCGCACGCGCGCUACACUGAUGCAUUCAACGAGUUACCUUGGCCGAGAGGUCCGGGAAAUCUUUGAAACUGCAUCGUGAUGGGGAUAGAUUAUUGCAAUUCUUAAUCUUCAACGAGGAAUGCCUAGUAAGCGCAAGUCAUCAGCUUGCGUUGAUUACGUCCCUGCCCUUUGUACACACCGCCCGUCGCUCCUACCGAUUGGGUGUGCUGGUGAAAUGUUCGGAUUGGCAGCAUUUUGUGGUUUCCACGGAGUGCAGCCGAGAAGUUCAUUAAACCCUCCCACCUAGAGGAAGGAGAAGUCGUAACA
rnacentral:rRNA from 1 species